rnacentral:rRNA from 1 species
GUAGGUGGCAAGCGUUGUCCGGAAUUAUUGGGCGUAAAGCGCGCGCAGGCGGUUCUUUAAGUCUGAUGUGAAAGCCCACGGGCUCAACCGUGGAGGGUCAUUGGAAACUGGAGAACUUGAGUACAGAAGAGGAAAGCGGAAUUCCACGUGUAGCGGUGAAAUGCGUAGAGAUGUGGAGGAACACCAGUGGCGAAGGCGGCUUUCUGGUCUGUAACUGACGCUGAGGCGCGAAAGCGUGGGGAGCAAACAGGAUUUGAUACCCUGGUAGUCCACGCCGUAAACGAUGAGUGCUAAGUGUUAGGGGGGUUUCCGCCCCUUAGUGCUGCAGCUAACGCAUUAAGCACUCCGCCUGGGGAGUACGGCCGCAAGGCUG